AAACCAUGGUUGAAACAAGAUUUAUCAUGAGAAGUCAGCAGAGGUCAUAGUACUAGGGCAGUCAUGAAUGCUCUAGGAAGGAC
rfam:Geosporobacter subterraneus DSM 17957 genome assembly, contig: EJ58DRAFT_scaffold00075.75